rnacentral:rRNA from 1 species
GGGAAAGCGGGGCCAGCAGACGGGGGAAGACGUGGGGGGGGAGCGUUGGCCGGAGUGACGGGGGUUAAAGCGCGCUCAGGCGGUCGGGCUCGGCCGGUGGGAAAGCGCCCGGCUCAACUGGGGGAGGUCUUCGGAUACGGGCAGACUGGAGGGAGGCAGAGGAAGGUGGAAUUCCCGGUGUAGUGGUGAAAUGCGUAGAGAUCGGGAGGAACACCAGUGGCGAAGGCGGCCUUCUGGGCCUUUCCUGACGCUGAGGCGCGAAAGCGUGGGGAGCGAACCGGAUUAGAUACCCUGGUAGUC